rnacentral:rRNA from 1 species
AUUGAACGCUAGCGGCAGGCCUAACACAUGCAAGUCGAGCGGAGCGGCGGACGGGUGCGUAAUGCCUAGGAAUCUGCCUGGUAGUGGGGGCUCACGUCCGGAAACGGGCGCUACUACCGCAUACUAUCAGAUGAGCCUAGGUCGGAUUAGCGUGUUGGUGGGGUAAAGGCCUACCAAGGCGACGAUCCGUAACUGGUCUGAGAGGAUGAUCAGUCACACUGUAACUGAGACACGGUCCAGACGCCUACGGGAGCCAGCAGUGGGGAAUAGUGGACAAUGGGCUAAGGCCUGAUCCAGCCAUGCCGCGUGUGUGAAGAAGGUCUUCGGAUUGUAAAGCACUUUAAGUUGGGAGGGGUGACCAACAGAAUAAGCAGCGGCUAACUUCGUGCCAGCCGCCGCGGUAAUAC